rnacentral:rRNA from 1 species
CAUGCAAGUCGAACGGUAAGGCCCCUUCGGGGGUACACGAGUGGCGAACGGGUGAGUAACACGUGGGUAAUCUGCCCUGCACUUCGGGAUAAGCCUGGGAAACUGGGUCUAAUACCGGAUAUGAGCUCUCACCGCAUGGUGGGGGUUGGAAAGUUUUUCGGUGCAGGAUGAGCCCGCGGCCUAUCAGCUUGUUGGUGGGGUAAUGGCCUACCAAGGCGACGACGGGUAGCCGGCCUGAGAGGGUGAUCGGCCACACUGGGACUGAGACACGGCCCAGACUCCUACGGGAGGCAGCAGUGGGGAAUAUUGCACAAUGGGCGGAAGCCUGAUGCAGCGACGCCGCGUGGGGGAUGACGGUCUUCGGAUUGUAAACCCCUUUCAGUAGGGACGAAGCGCAAGUGACGGUACCUGCAGAAGAAGCACCGGCCAACUACGUGCCAGCAGCGGCCG